UACGUAGGGGGCAAGCGUUGUCCGGAAUCAUUGGGCGUAAAGAGCGUGUAGGCGCUUGGCAAGUCUGGUGUGAAAUCUUGCGGCUCAACCGCAAGCGGUCACUGGAAACUGCCUCGCUAGAGUCCGGAAGAGGAGAGCGGAAUUCCUGGUGUAGCGGUGGAAUGCGCAGAUAUCAGGAAGAACACCCGUGGCGAAGGCGGCUCUCUGGGACGGUACUGACGCUGGAG
rnacentral:rRNA from 1 species